UCCGAAUUGGUGUAGUGGCUAACAUUUGACGCUCUCAUCCUUAAAGAAGAACCGUCAAGCCCGGGGUUCGAUUCCCCGAUUCGGAG